AGUGACAGCACCUGAUCGAGAGAAGCAGCGGCAGCGGAGCCUCGUGAGGCAGGAGAGGAAAUAUUAGUAAAUAAAUAAGUCAAUAAAGUGACGGACACAGAGUCUGGAGCAGCAGGAGCAGCAGGAGCAGCAGGAGCAGCAGGGAUGAACCAGCUGGAGCGGACAAUAGAAGAAGAGGUCGAGGAAGAGUCAGAGUGUCACCAUGACAACAGUGACGGGACCAACAACAACAACAACAACAAUCGACGCAAGAUGGUGUCUCCAGGUGUAGGUGAACACCCCCUCCAGUAUAACUACACCUUCUGGUACAGCAGAAGAACUCCGAGUCGUCCCGCGAGUUCUCAGAGUUACGAACAAAACAUUCGACAGAUCGGCAGCGUGGCUUCGGUGGAGCAGUUCUGGAGGUUGUACAGUCACCUGGUCAGACCAGGUGAUCUGAGUGGACACAGUGACUUCCACCUGUUCAAGGAGGGCAUAAAACCCAUGUGGGAGGAUGACUCUAACCGCAAUGGGGGGAAGUGGAUCAUCCGUCUUCGGAAAGGUUUGGCCAGCCGAUUCUGGGAGAACAUUAUACUGGCCAUGGUGGGAGAGCAGUUCAUGGUGGGAGAAGAGAUCUGUGGAGCCGUGGUCUCCAUACGCUUCCAGGAGGACAUCUUGUCCAUCUGGAACAGAACAUCUAACGACCAAACGACAACCUCCAGAAUCAGAGACACUUUAAGACGAGUGCUGAACCUUCCAACCAACACCAUCAUGGAGUACAAGACCCACAACGACAGCCUCAGGGACAACUCGAGCUUCAGGAACACAAAGAUUUCACUUUGAAGACAUGUCAGCUGACCUCCCUUCUGUCAAAUCAGGACGCAGAUCAUCAUCGGGACCCUCUGCUCCGCCAUUGGCCAGUGGAGGGGGUGUGUGUGUGUGUGUGUGUGUGUGUGUGUGUGUGUGGGGG